rnacentral:rRNA from 1 species
AUUGAACGCUGGCGGCAGGCCUAACACAUGCAAGUCGAGCGAGUGGCGGACGGGUGAGUAAUGUCGGGGAAACUGCCUGAUGGAGGGGGAUAACUACUGGAAACGGUAGCUAAUACCGCAUCCCAUCAGAUGUGCCCAGGUGGGAUUAGCUAGUGGGUGGGGUAAAGGCCAACCAAGGCGACGAUCCGUAACUGGUCUGAGCGGAUGAUCAGUCACACUGGAACUGAGACACGGUCCAGACUCCUACGGGAGGCAGCAGUGGGGAAUAUUGGAUAAUGGGCGCAAGCCUGAUCCAGCCAUGCCGCGUGUGUGAAGAAGGUCUGCGGAUUGUAAAGCACUUUAAGUUGGGAGGCGUUACCAACAGAAGAAGCACCGGCUAACUCCGUGCCAGCCGCCGCGGUAAUUC